rnacentral:lncRNA from 1 species
GCAUGGCUUACCUGGUGUGAUAGGAGGUCUUGCAAGCAUUGCGGCCAUAGCCCUGGGAGUGGCUCAUGUCCACGGUAACCAGGCAGGCAAAAGCACUGGGUUCUUCCAUCGGAACAGCAAUUGUUGGAGGUUUGGUUACAGGUUUAAUUCUAAAGAUACCUUGCUGGGAACAGCCCCCUGACGAGUACUGCUACGACGAUUCUGUUUACUGGGAGGUCCCUAGGUGGAGAGAACAUGAUAUUCACUUCCAUGAACAUGAGGACCACAAGCAGCUUGAACGUGAAGUGUAGUAUUGUCCUGUACUCCAGUUUCCUCUCCCAUUGCCUAGAGUCAAGUUCAAAUAAAAAAGCAGCAUCAAAUAAGAGCAUGGAGCAGAGUAAAUAGAUGCUCAAUCUAAGUGCCCAGUAUAAAAAUGUCUUAAUGUCAAGUGCUGCCUUUAGAUAUUCAAGUGAUUGUUUAAUUGAAGGGUUGUGGCUGAUAGAUAAUGUCAAAUGGACUGUGCUUAGUAUCUGAAAAAUUUCUUUGCCGCUGGGUAGGUACUUGCUGAACAUGUGCUGUAUGUUCUUGAAUUUUUCCCCAAAGAGAGAGAUUGAUAUAGAAAUCAAUACUUCUUAGUUGUGUCAGUUUCUUAAUGUAGAUACUAUGCCUUUAGUCUCCCCAAUUAUAUAACCGAAGCCAAUGAAAC